UAGGGAAUCUUCGGCAAUGGACGAAAGUCUGACCGAGCAACGCCGCGUGAGUGAAGAAGGUUUUCGGAUCGUAAAACUCUGUUGUUAGAGAAGAACAAGGACGUUAGUAACUGAACGUCCCCUGACGGUAUCUAACCAGAAAGCCACGGCUAACUACGUGCCAGCAGCCGCGGUAAUACGUAGGUGGCAAGCGUUGUCCGGAUUUAUUGGGCGUAAAGCGAGCGCAGGCGGUUUCUUAAGUCUGAUGUGAAAGCCCCCGGCUCAACCGGGGAGGGUCAUUGGAAACUGGGAGACUUGAGUGCAGAAGAGGAGAGUGGAAUUCCAUGUGUAGCGGUGAAAUGCGUAGGUAUAUGGAGGAACACCAGUGGCGAAGGCGGCUCUCUGGUCUGUAACUGACGCUGAGGAUCGAAAGCGUGGGGAGCAAACAGG
rnacentral:rRNA from 1 species